CUACGGGUGGCUGCAGUGGGGAAUAUUGGACAAUGGGCGAAAGCCUGAUCCAGCAAUGCCACGUGAGUGAUGAAGGCCUUAGGGUUGUAAAGCUCUUUCAGUAGGGAAGAUAAUGACGGUACCUACAGAAGAAGCACCGGCUAACUCCGUGCCAGCAGCCGCGGUAAUACGGAGGGUGCUAGCGUUGUUCGGAAUUACUGGGCGUAAAGGGCGCGUAGGCGGUUUAUCAAGUUGGAAGUGAAAUCCCAGAGCUUAACUUUGGAACUGCUUUCAAAACUGGUUUACUUGAGUUAGGUAGAGGAUAGUGGAAUUCCCAGUGUAGAGGUGAAAUUCGUAGAUAUUGGGAGGAACACCAGAAGCGAAGGCGACUAUCUGGACCUUAACUGACGCUGAGGCGCGAAAGUGUGGGGAGCAAACAGGAUUAGAUACCCGCGUAGUC
rnacentral:rRNA from 1 species